rnacentral:rRNA from 1 species
CUACGGGAGGCACCAGUGGGGAAUAUUGCACAAUGGGCGCAAGCCUGAUGCAGCCAUGCCGCGUGUAUGAAGAAGGCCUUCGGGUUGUAAAGUACUUUCAGCGGGGAGGAAGGGAGUAAAGUUAAUACCUUUGCUCAUUGACGUUACCCGCAGAAGAAGCACCGGCUAACUCCGUGCCAGCAGCCGCGGUAAUACGGAGGGUGCAAGCGUUAAUCGGAAUUACUGGGCGUAAAGCGCACGCAGGCGGUUUGUUAAGUCAGAGGUGAAAUCCCCGGGCUCAACCUGGGAACUGCAUCUGAUACUGGCAAGCUAGAGUCUCGUAGAGGGGGGUAGAAUUCCAGGUGUAGCGGUGAAAUGCGUAGAGAUCUGGAGGAAUACCGGUGGCGAAGGCGGCCCCCUGGACGAAGGCUGACGCUCAGGUGCGAAAGCGUGGGGAGCAAACAGGAUUAGAUACCCGGGUAGUC